CACAUGUGGUCACUUUAGAUUACAGCGCUGGAAUUCUGAUAAGCGCCGAGCUCGAGCUGAGUCUGUCCCCGCCAACGCACCUGCUCGUGACAGAAAAACACACAGCCACUGGAUAGAGAAAGUCGAAGUUAUCGGCAGGAGAAGCUGGCGUUUGCAGGAUUCGUGAGAUAAAGUCAAGUCCUGGUUGGAUAUGUUACAUUUGGCUGCUUCUUCUUGAAUGAGAUGGAUAUCUUGGUACUUGGAGCACUUGAGAUGUUAUGAGGUCUGCAAAAAUCCCUCUGCAAAACUGCUUGUAGUUCAACCUGAGGAGCUCAACAACUACUUCCCCCUGUCAGCGUAUAUGGUUCAAGACAGACUUCUGGUUUCCCCUAGAGCAUUCCUGCUUCAUUGAGGUGGGUUGACCAGAGUUAAAUCAGCACCUCUCUUACAGUUUUUUAACUAAAUACAA